UAUAUAUGUGUGUAACCAGUGAACAUGUAUGCUGCACAACGUGCGAUAGUGUUUGGGGUGUAAGGGUUUAGUAGUAGAGGUAGUACUUCUGCUUUUAAAGUCAGCCAUGUCUGUUGGAUGAACACUAGUCGUCACUGUUUGCUGAACUCUUACCUAUGGGUCCAAGUAGUUGCUUGUGCACUGCAAUGGCCACAACCCAGUAAAUCUCAUUGGCUUGUGGGCUAAACUAGGUAAG